rnacentral:rRNA from 1 species
GAUCCUGGCUCAGGAUGAACGCUGGCGGCGUGCCUAACACAUGCAAGUCGAGCGAAGCACUUUGCUUAGAUUCUUCGGAUGAAGAGGAUUGUGACUGAGCGGCGGACGGGUGAGUAACGCGUGGGUAACCUGCCUCAUACAGGGGGAUAACAGUUAGAAAUGACUGCGUAAUACCGCAUAAGACCACAGCACCGCAUGGUGCGUGGGUAAAAACUCCGGUGGU